AUUGAACGCUGGCGGCAGGCCUAACACAUGCAAGUCGAACGAGUGGCGGACGGGUGAGUAAUGUCUGGGAAACUGCCUGAUGGAGGGGGCUAACUACUGGAAACGGUAGCUACUACCGCAUACCGUCGGAUGCGCCCAGAUGGGAUUAGCUGGUUGGGGGGGUAUCGGCUCAGAAGGGGGACGAUCCCUAGCUGGUCUGAGAGGAUGACCGGCCACAAUGGAACUGAGACCCGGUCCAGACUCUGACGGGAGGCAGCAGUGGGGAAUAUUGCACAAUGGGCGCAAGCCUGAUGCAGCCAUGCCGCGUGUAUGAAGAAGGCCUUCGGGUUGUAAAGUACUUUCAGCGGGGAGGCGUUACCCGCAGAAGAAGCACCGGCUAACUCCGUGCCAGCCGCCGCGGUAAUUC
rnacentral:rRNA from 1 species